rnacentral:rRNA from 1 species
GACGAACGCUGGCGGCGUGCUUAACACAUGCAAGUCGAACGAUGACGCCCGAGCUUGCUCGGUCUGAUUAGUGGCGAACGGGUGAGUAACACGUGAGCAACCUGCCCUUCACUCUGGGAUAACCUCGGGAAAUCGGGGCUAAUACCGGAUAUGAGCUCCUGUCGCAUGGCGGGGGUUGGAAAGUUUUUCGGUGAAGGAUGGGCUCGCGGCCUAUCAGUUUGUUGGUGAGGUAGUGGCUCACCAAGGCGAUGACGGGUAGCCGGCCUGAGAGGGCGACCGGCCACACUGGGACUGAGACACGGCCCAGACUCCUACGGGAGGCAGCAGUGGGGAAUAUUGCACAAUGGGCGAAAGCCUGAUGCAGCGACGCCGCGUGAGGGAUGACGGCCUUCGGGUUGUAAACCUCUUUCAGCAGGGAAGAAGCGAAAGUGACGGUACCUGCAGAAGAAGCGCCGGCUAACUACGUG